rnacentral:rRNA from 1 species
GUCUUUUUGUAUUUUAUUUAAAGUCUAGCGUGCCCACUGAAAUUAUUUUAAAUGGCCGCAGUAAUUUGACUGUGCAAAGGUAGCAUAAUAAUUAGUUUUUUAAUUAAGAGCUAGUAUGAAAGGUUGGACGAAGUAAAUUCUGUCUCUAUUUAAUUUAAAUUAGAAUUUAAUUUUUAAGUUAAAAAGCUUAAAUGUUUAUAAAAGACGAGAAGACCCUAUAGAGCUUUAUAUUUUUAAUAAUAUAAUUAUAUUAAGAUUUAAUUAUUUUUUAUUAUUAAAAUUAUUUUAUUGGGGUAAUAGAAAGAUUUAAAUAAUUCUUUUUUAUUAUUUAUAUUUAUUUAUAGAAUUAUUGAUCCAAUUUUAUUGAUUAUAAGAUUAAGUUACCUUAGGGAUAACAGCGUAAUUUUUUUGAAGAGUUCUUAUCGAUAAAAAAGUUUGCGACCUCGAUGUUGGAUUAAAGAUUAUUUUUGGUGUAGAAGUUAAAAAUUUUGGUCUGUUCGACCAUUGAAUCUUUACAUGAUCUGAGUUCAGACCGGUGUAAGCCAGGUCGGUUUCUAUCUUUAUUUUUGUAUAAUAUUUUAGUACGAAAGGACCAAAUAUUAAAUAUAUUAAUAUUUAUAUAUUGAAUAUUAUU